rnacentral:rRNA from 1 species
AUUGAACGCUGGCGGCAUGAUUUACACAUGCAAGUCGAACGGUAACAGGCCGCAAGGUGCUGACGAGUGGCGAACGGGUGAGUAAUGCAUCGGAACGUGCCCAGUCGUGGGGGAUAACUACUCGAAAGAGUGGCUAAUACCGCAUACGAUCUAUGGAUGACAGCGGGGGACCGUAAGGCCUCGCGCGAUUGGAGCGGCCGAUGUCAGAUUAGGUAGUUGGUGGGGUAAAGGCUCACCAAGCCAACGAUCUGUAGCUGGUCUGAGAGGACGACCAGCCACACUGGGACUGAGACACGGCCCAGACUCCUACGGGAGGCAGCAGUGGGGAAUUUUGGACAAUGGGCGCAAGCCUGAUCCAGCAAUGCCGCGUGCAGGAAGAAGGCCUUCGGGUUGUAAACUGCUUUUGUACGGAACGAAACGGCUCUGGUUAAUACCCGGGGCUAAUGACGGUACCGUAAGAAUAAGCACCGGCUAACUACGUG